GACGAACCGUGCGAACGUUAUUCGGAAUCACUGGGCUUAAAGCGCGUGUAGGCGGCUAAGUAAGUCGGGCGUGAAAUCCCACGGCUCAACCGUGGAAGUGCACUCGAAACUGCAUAGCUAGAGUCCUGGAGAGGAAGGUGGAAUGCUUGGUGUAGAGGUGAAAUUCGUAGAUAUCAAGCGGAACACCGGUGGCGAAGGCGGCCUUCUGGACAGUGACUGACGCUGAGACGCGAAAGCGUGGGGAGCAAACAGGG
rnacentral:rRNA from 1 species